UAAAGCUCUUUCACCGAUGAAGAUAAUGACGUGUAGUCGGUAGAAAGAAGCCCCGGCUAACUUCGUGCCAGCAGCCGCCGGUAAUACGAAGGGGGCUAGUCGUUUGUUCAGGAAUUACUGGGCGUAAAGCGCACGUAGGCGGAUAUUUAAUCAGGGGUGAAAUCCCGCAGCUCAACUCGGAACUGCCUUUGAUACUGGGUAUCUUGAGUAUGGAAGAGUGAGUGGAAUUCCGAGUGUAGAGGUGAAAUUCGUAGAUAUUCGGAGGAACACCAGUGGCGAAGCGGCUCACUGUUCCAUUACUGACGCUGAGGUGCGAAAGCUGGGGACAACAGGAUUAGAUACCCUGGUAGUCCACCCGUAAACGAUGAAUGUUA
rnacentral:rRNA from 1 species